GCCAUAGCUCAGUGGUAGAGCAUCUGCCCUACAUGCAGAAAGUCUCAGGUUAAACAUCUCCAGAUAGGGACA